CGAUGUGAGGGCGAUCUGGCUGCGGCAUCUGUCAUCCCAUUGAUCGCCCGGUUGAUUCGGCUGAUCUGGCUGGCUGGGCAGGUGUCCACUGCCUCCCUCACUGCUCCACGUGCGUCCCUCCCAAAGCUGCACGCUCAGUCGAAGAGGACGACCUUCCCCAAUACAGGCAGUACUGUUCAUCGGUCGUGGGUAUAUGGUAGCUGCGCUUUCCUGCUAGAACCUCCAAACAUCAUAACUGCUUACACUUUUAACCCUAUACUUCAUCUUUUGAUGAGACGUU
rnacentral:snRNA from 1 species